GAUGAAGAACGCAGCGAAAUGCGAUAAGUAAUGCGAAUUGCAGAAUUCAGUGAAUCAUCGAAUCUUUGAACGCACAUUGCGCCCGCUAGUAUUCUGGCGGGCAUGCCUGUCCGAGCGUCAUUUCAACCCUCGCCCCCGGCUUUUGCUGGGAGCGGUGUUGGGGAUCGGCCGCCCGUCACUGGGAGGCCGGCCCCGAAAUAGAGUGGCGACCACGCCGUGUGCUCCUCUGCGUAGUAGUAAAUCACCUCGCAGGCGGACAGCGGUGCGGCCUGCCGUAAAACCCCCAACUCUUUCUGGUUGACCUCAGAUCAGGUAGGAACACCCGCUGAACUUAAGCAUAUCAAUGAGCGGAGGA
rnacentral:misc_RNA from 1 species